rnacentral:rRNA from 1 species
AUUGAACGCUGGCGGCAGGCCUAACACAUGCAAGUCGAGCGGAUGAAGGGAGCUUGCUCCUGGAUUCAGCGGCGGACGGGUGAGUAAUGCCUAGGAAUCUGCCUGGUAGUGGGGGAUAACGUCCGGAAACGGGCGCUAAUACCGCAUACGUCCUGAGGGAGAAAGUGGGGGAUCUUCGGACCUCACGCUAUCAGAUGAGCCUAGGUCGGAUUAGCUAGUUGGUGGGGUAAAGGCCUACCAAGGCGACGAUCCGUAACUGGUCUGAGAGGAUGAUCAGUCACACUGGAACUGAGACACGGUCCAGACUCCUACGGGAGGCAGCAGUGGGGAAUAUUGGACAAUGGGCGAAAGCCCGAUCCAGCCAUGCCGCGUGUGUGAAGAAGGUCUUCGGAUUGUGAAGCACUUUAAGUUGGGAGGAAGGGCAGUAAGUUAAUACCUUGCUGUUUUGACGUUACCAACAGAAUAAGCACCGGCUAACUUCGUG